AUUGAACGCUGGCGGCAGGCCUAACACAUGCAAGUCGAGCGGAUGAAGGGAGCUUGCUCCUGGAUUCAGCGGCGGACGGGUGAGUAAUGCCUAGGAAUCUGCCUGGUAGUGGGGGAUAACGUCCGGAAACGGGCGCUAAUACCGCAUACGUCCUGAGGGAGAAAGUGGGGGAUCUUCGGACCUCACGCUAUCAGAUGAGCCUAGGUCGGAUUAGCUAGUUGGUGGGGUAAAGGCCUACCAAGGCGACGAUCCGUAACUGGUCUGAGAGGAUGAUCAGUCAAAGGGGAACGGAACACCGGUCCAGACUCCUACGGGAGGAAGCAGUGGGGAAUAUUGGACAAUGGGCGAAAGCCUGACCCAGCCAUGCCGCGUGUGUGAAGAAGGUCUUCGGAUUGUAAAGCACUUUAAGUUGGGAGGAAGGAAAGUAAGUUAAUACCUUGCUGUUUUGACGUUACCAAAAAAAAAAGCACCGGCUAACUUCGUG
rnacentral:rRNA from 1 species